rnacentral:rRNA from 1 species
ACACGAAGCUGGAAUCGCUGGUAAUCGCGAAUCAGAAUGUCGCGGUGAAUACGUUCCCGGGUCUUGUACACACCGCCCGUCACACCAUGGGAGUCGGAAAUGCCCGAAGUCUGUGACCCAACCUGAGAGGGAGGGAGCAGCCGAAGGCAGGUCUGAUGACUGGGGUGAAGUCGUAACAAGGUAAC